rnacentral:rRNA from 1 species
CAGCUUGUUGGUGAGGUAAUGGCUCACCAAGGCGACGAUCCGUAACUGGUCUGAGAGGAUGAUCAGUCACACUGGAACUGAGACACGGUCCAGACUCCUACGGGAGGCAGCAGUGGGGAAUAUUGGACAAUGGGCGAAAGCCUGAUCCAGCCAUGCCGCGUGUGUGAAGAAGGUCUUCGGAUUGUAAAGCACUUUAAGUUGGGAGGAAGGGCAUUAACCUAAUACGUUGGUGUCUUGACGUUACCGACAGAAUAAGCACCGGCUAACUCUGUGCCAGCAGCCGCGGUAAUACAGAGGGUGCAAGCGUUAAUCGGAAUUACUGGGCGUAAAGCGCGCGUAGGUGGUUCGUUAAGUUGGAUGUGAAAUCCCCGGGCUCAACCUGGGAACUGCAUUCAAAACUGACGGGCUAGAGUAUGGUAGAGGGUGGUGGAAUUUCCUGUGUAGCGGUGAAAUGCGUAGAUAUAGGAAGGAACACCAGUGGCGAAGGCGACCACCUGGACUGAUACUGACACUGAGGUGCGAAAGCG